rnacentral:rRNA from 1 species
UGCCUAACACAUUGCAAGUCGAGGAGAACAUUUCCUUCGGGAGAUAAGUGAACUGGCGAACGGGUGAGUAACGCGUAGAUUAUCUGCCCUUGACACUUACAUAACAUCGAGAAAUCGGUGCUAAUAUAAGAUGAGGCCUUCGGGUCAAAGCUUCGGCGGUAAAGGAUGAGUCUGCGUCUGAUUAGCUAGUUGGUGAGGUAAAUGCUCACCAAGGCGACGAUCAGUAACUGGUUUGAGAGGACGAUCAGUCACACUGGAACUGAGACACGGUCCAGACUCCCUACCGGGAGGCAGCAGUGAGGAAUUUUGGUCAAUGGGGGAAACCCUGAACCAGCGACGCCGCGUGUAGGAUGAAUGGGCUUUGCCCUGUAAACUACUGUCAGAGGGGAAGAAAAGCCUGGUUGCCGGGCUGGGACUGUACCCUCAGAGGAAGGACCGGCUAACUACGUGCCAGCAGCCGCGGUAAUACGUAGGGUCCAAGCGUUAUCCGGAAUUACUGGGUAUAAAGGGUGCGUAGGCGGGCUUGUGCGUCAGGGGUUAAAGACCCGAGCUUAACUCGGGGAAUGCCCUUGAUACGGCAAGUCUUGAAUGUGAGAGAGGAUGGUAGAAUUCCUGGUGUAGCGGUGAAAUGCGUAGAUAUCAGGAGGAAUACCGGUGGCGAAGGCGGCCAUCUGGCUCAUCAUUGACGCUCAGGCACGAAAGCGUGGGGAGCAAACAGGAUUAGAUACCCUGGUAGUCCACGCCCUAAACGAUGUAUGCCUUGCGU